AGUGAACGCUGGCGGUAGGCCUAACACAUGCAAGUCGAACGGCAGCACAGUAAGAGCUUGCUCUUACGGGUGGCGAGUGGCGGACGGGUGAGGAAUACAUCGGAAUCUACUUUUUCGUGGGGGAUAACGUAGGGAAACUUACGCUAAUACCGCAUACGACCUACGGGUGAGAGCAGGGGAUCUUCGGACCUUGCGCGAUUGAAUGAGCCGAUGUCGGAUUAGCUAGUUGGCGGGGUAAAGGCCCACCAAGGCGACGAUCCGUAGCUGGUCUGAGAGGAUGAUCAGCCACACUGGAACUGAGACACGGUCCAGACUCCUACGGGAGGCAGCAGUGGGGAAUAUUGGACAAUGGGCGCAAGCCUGAUACAGCCAUACCGCGUGGGUGAAGAAGGCCUUCGGGUUGUAAAGCCCUUUUGUUGGGAAAGAAAAGCAGCAGGUUAAUACCCCGCUGUUCUGACGGUACCCAAAGAAUAAGCACCGGCUAACUUCGUG
rnacentral:rRNA from 1 species